rnacentral:rRNA from 1 species
AACGAACGCUGGCGGCAUGCCUAACACAUGCAAGUCGAACGGGAUCCUGGCUUCGGUCAGGUGAGAGUGGCGGACGGGUGAGUAACGCGUGGGAACCUGCCCAGUGGUGGGGGAUAACUGCGGGAAACUGCAGCUAAUACCGCAUGAGCCCGAGAGGGGAAAGAUUUAUCGCCAUUGGAGGGGCCCGCGUUCGAUUAGGUAGUUGGUGAGGUAACGGCUCACCAAGCCGACGAUCGAUAGCUGGUCUGAGAGGAUGAUCAGCCACACUGGGACUGAGACACGGCCCAGACUCCUACGGGAGGCAGCAGUGGGGAAUAUUGGACAAUGGGCGAAAGCCUGAUCCAGCAAUGCCGCGUGAGUGAUGAAGGCCUUAGGGUUGUAAAGCUCUUUUACCCGAGAUGAUAAUGACAGUAUCGGGAGAAUAAGCUCCGGCUAACUCCGUGCCAGCAG